rnacentral:ncRNA from 1 species
AAAUGCAUGAGCCGGUGCCCACCCGAGCGCAGACGCCGCUGCCAUCACCCUUUCCCAUGAUGAGCUAGCGACCGAUGCCGACGGUGUGGCUGAGAAUAUACGGCCUUGAACUUGAUCUGGAUAAUACCAGCGAAAGGAUCAUGCACCCUAACACA